rnacentral:lncRNA from 1 species
GGUAACUUCCUAGACACAGAGACUGUGAUUUGAGUGUUUUUUAAGUUUGCUUUUCUCAGUAGUUUUUCGGGAAGAGAGGACUUCUAAGAGCUCUGAGUUGGUUGUAACAGAAGUAGUUACUAGUUCUGCAACUUAAUUUUCCUUUGAAUAAAAGAAACAGUUGUUAAAGAUAAAUUUAAGAUAUUAUUUUCAGUGGGGAUCAGUUUUAAACUUAUCUAGUAUAUUAGAUACUUAGUUUUAUGUAACUUGAAGGUUUAAUUUUGUCUCAUGUCAUUGAAUCUAAAAUUAAUUUUCCUCUUGAUGUAUAUUCUUCAACUCUGUUACCUUCCUUUCCCUUUGCUUUAUGUACUGAAAGGUAACAAUUGCUAAAAUAUAAACACAUUAUAUAAAUAGUAAAUGAGUUAGAGGUUACAGAUUUCAUCAGAACACACUAGUGGGGAAAUGAUAUCAACUGGUAAUGGAAACUGGUUAAAAAUGGAUUGAAAUAGAGCAGUUCUGUUUUUCUAACCUGAGGGAAUGUGGGAAUUUGUAUUUAACACAGUGGUCAUCAUGUGAUUAGUUGAUAACAUUGAAGCAUCCAGGCUCCAGUGCAGAACUAGAGUUGCUUUUUCCAUAGCUUGAAUAGAUCAGUUCCUCAAAAUAUAUGGGUACAGCUGUUUGCAUCAAAUUAAUGAGUUCAGACAUUUUUAAUAUAUAUAAAUAGGAUCGAGAGAGUCAUAUGGCAGGGUGUCCUUCAUUUGUACUUAGUGUUCAAGUGACAAAUCAUAAAAUGAAGGGAAAUGUUAGCAGUAAUGAAUUUGAAUGUAAACUGGAACCUGCUUAAGUAGGCAUCAGUUUUGCAUGGCGGGACCCAUAAAACCAUUUCAAGUAGAAAUGACCUCUUUGACUGCGAAGAGGCAGAAGAUGGGGCUUGGUAGAUAGUAGGGGCUGGAAGAAGAAAACUCUGAUAUGAAAAAUGCUAAAAGCAAGGGAGAAAUAUGCUUAGAAUUUUGAUAACAUAAGCCGACAUGGAACUUAGAGUUUUUAUUAAAUUGUCACUUCAAAAUAUUUGCAUUGAAGUCAGACACAGUGGUACAUGCCUGUAAUUCCAGCUGCUUGGAAAGCUGAGGCAGGAUUGCAAGUUCAAAGCCAGCCUGGGCAAUUUAGGGAGACUCUCCCAAAUUUAAAAGGACCAAGGGAUGUAGUUUAGUGGUAGAGUGCCUGCCCAGCAUUUGUGAGACCUAGGAUUCUAUCCCUAGUAAUGGGGGAAAAAAACUGCUGUGAGAUCUGCUUACCCCAACCUAUUAAGAGGUUGAGGGCUGGGCCCGAUGGUGCACACCUAUAAUCCCAGUGGCUUAGGAGGCUGAGACAAGAAGAUUCUAAGUUGAAAGCCUCAGCAAAUUAGUGAGGCCCAAAGCAACUCAGUGAGAGCCUGUGUCUAAAUAAAAUACAAAAUAGGACUGGGCAUGUGGCUCAGUGGUAGAGUUCACCCUGCCCAAAAGAAAAAGAGGUUGAGAGAGGCUGUGUUGAGAAUAUUUAACAUUUUUUGGG